UAUUUAAGAACACAGCCAGGGAUUCCGUAGUCCAAAACAGAAAGCUAUUAGACCACCUCAUCAGCUUGAUGGUGAGAGGGUCCUUUAUUCAUUGAGCAAAUGCUUAGUGAGCACCAAGUUGCACAGGGUAAUGGACACUGGGGCUACAGCUUUGAACAGGCCAGGCAUGCACUGCCCACAGCAUUAGCCAGCGACCAAAUUAGGGGCCACUUCUUGGCACAGAAUCUCUCGUCAAGGAAAACUGUCACAAGAAAGAAAAUAUUAAAGGGUUAUUUUAAUAGAAGCCAGAAACAUCUUGGGGUCAAGGAGGUAAGGAAUAUAAAUAAUACUUGUCAACGAGCUUUUAAUACCAAAAUAUACCCCAAAGAGGAAUCCUGUUCUGGUGAAUCAGGACUUUUGUUGUCCUAGAAGCUGAAAGAUUCCGGUGACAUUUUAUCUUUGGCUGUCAACUUCCUUGAUGUUCCUUAACUUAGAUUUAGAGGUAUGGCGUAUAUCUCACAGGGACGUGUCUACUUCCGUUUCCCUGACUGAACCAAAAUUCCCUGCAGGAUCUCCUACCAAGCAUGGGGAGACUGUUUAGAAGGACAGAAGCCUUUGGGAAGUGAAUUUCUCAUUGCAGAGCACCUCAUCAUCAAAGGGAAUCUAUGACCCUGAGCUUGUAAGAACAUAUAAAGUGAGACAUUGGAUAUUUCUCUCCUGGCCCAGGAAGGAAAAGAAAGAGAGAAAAUAGAACAGUAAUGAUCUCCUCCCUCAGGGCAGAUGAAUGGAAAUGGUUUCCAUUAACCAGAUGGCCCACUUCAACCCCAUGGCAAGAGCAAAGAAGUGUCCAUAGCAAGAGAUUUGUGUUACCCACUCAUGCUCACCAGGGAGGAGAGAGGUGGGGCUCGCCAAAGUAUGGUCCAAAGGCCACAUACAUCAGGACCUCCUGAGAUUAGCACGUUUAAUGCAGAUUCCUGGGCCCCAUCUCACACCCAUUGAUUCUACAGCUCUGGGAACAGGGUCAAGAAAUCUGCACUUGCCACAAGCUGGAUUGUUCUGUUGCACAUGAAAGUCUGAGGACCACUGCUGUAGAGGCCCCCUGCACUGCUACCCUUGGGCUUUGAGCUCCCUCUGAGCCAUGAAAGAAAAUAUUUGUUGGGAAGGAAAGUGAGUCAGGGUGGAAGCUGUCAGAUCCUCCUGUCUGGAGCUGCCACUUCGUAUUCCGAUUUCUCAUUUUUUUCUUCUUGAUGACCAUAGAUGUAUCCCAAAGGCAAAAGUGAGGCAUUACCCGACAUGGGAGAACCACCAGGUAAAACUCACCUUCAAAACCCACAUAAAAUUUCUAAGCUCCAGAGACUUCCGAGUCUUCAUUCCUGUCUGGGAACAGUAGCUGGCUCACUCUCUCAGAUUAAGUCUGGCUGUUAAGUCCUGGAGAUCAUUCUAAAUCCUUGACCAUUGCUUUGCGGAGAUUUGAUCACCGGUUGGAUGAGAUUGCUAUUUCCACAGUCCACCCCUCCCACCCUGCAUUCAUAGCCCUGAAUUUGACCCUCUGGGUAGAAUCCUAUUAUCCUCAAGAGGUUUGAUCCCAGUAAAUUGAGGUCUUCACCUUUAGGAGGGACGUUUCAUUUCCCUGGCUCACCAGCAGCAUUGAUUUACGAACACCAAAAGGGUUUAAUAAUUCUUUCCUUCCUGGUGUUACUGCCCACCCCCACUUUUGAUUUUUUGUGUAUCUAAGAACCAGGAAAAAUAAAAACUUAGGUUUUAAAAGGUUAAAAAAAAAUCUGUUUCAGAAACUGUCAAAUGUACCAUAUUUGUAUUAAGAGUUGUUGGGGAUUUUUGUACAAUGAAUUUACAUUUAUUUAUGGUGACUUAUAUUUACGCUUGUGAUCAAAUAAUGAUGUUAAAUUCUUAAAUCAUAUUUGCUAUGCAGCUGAAGAUGAUAUUUUGCUUUGUAUUUUGGGGUAACUGUGUUGAGUUGAUAAACAUUUCCAUCUCCAUUAAAACUGCUUCCAAAC
rnacentral:lncRNA from 1 species